GACGAACGCUGGCGGCGUGCCUAAUACAUGCAAGUCGAGCGGACGGAUGGGAGCUUGCUCCCAGACCGUCAGCGGCGGCCGGGUGAGUAACACGUGGGCAACCUGCCUGUAAGACUGGGAUAACUCCGGGAAACCGGGGCUAAUACCGGAUAACUCUUUCCCUCACAUGAGGGAAAGCUGAAAGAUGGCAUCUCGCUAUCACUUACAGAUGGGCCCGCGGCGCAUUAGCUAGUUGGUGAGGUAACGGCUCACCAAGGCGACGAUGCGUAGCCGACCUGAGAGGGUGAUCGGCCACACUGGGACUGAGACACGGCCCAGACUCCUACGGGAGGCAGCAGUAGGGAAUCUUCCGCAAUGGACGAAAGUCUGACGGAGCAACGCCGCGUGAGUGAUGAAGGUGUUCGGAUCGUAAAACUCUGUUGUCAGGGAAGAACAAGUACCGGAGUAACUGCCGGUACCUUGACGGUACCUGACCAGAAAGCCACGGCUAACUACGUG
rnacentral:rRNA from 1 species